AUGCCAAUACUGAAUAGCAAUGAGAUUUUAGUAAAGAAGAUGGAAGCUCCGGUCUACAAAAGGGUAUCAUAUCCAGUGAUGGAUGAGGAUAUAUUUCAAGAACUUCCCUCGAAGUCACUUUUCACAUGUUUAAGAAAGCAAACAGGCCAAGAAGAAAGAAGUCAAUUGCUUUCAAUGGUAUCAUAAGGUUGGAACACAGCAUUGAAGUUCAGAGUUUCAAAGGUAAGCAAAAGCUAAGGGGUCUAGGUUCUGAAGAAAAGAGAACAAGGGUAUAGCUCAAUAUUUUGUACCACUAACCUUCUCAAGGCAUUUUCAUAUUCUUUAUUUCCAUGAACUAAGAGGCCAGGAAGGCACAUAGAAAUCUGAAGCUGAAUCAUAAAUACUAAGGGGAAUCUUUGGUUGUCUUAAUGGUAUUUGGGUUUUAAAAGGUGGCAUAAAGGGCGUGCCUAGUAUGAAUAGCUCUAGUACAUAUAUGAGGUUUGCAGCUGAUUCCCUAGAGAACUAUGUAUUACCAAUAAAAACAAACCAUAAAUAGGCCA
rnacentral:lncRNA from 1 species